CUGAUUAUUUUUCCUUCCUCCUUCGUUUGCAGUUGCUACCAUGACUCGCACGAAGAUCACCCCGAACCCCCCUCCGUCAGCGCGAAACCCCCCUUCACAAGCACACGACUCUACGCAAGUUCGUGGUGCUCCCUCUUCGCAGGCUGUGAGGCCCGCGUCUUCUCAAACCACUCUGGCCCAGGCGACUCCACCAAACGCUGGAGGAG
rnacentral:lncRNA from 1 species